CAAUAUUCACCACAACAACUUGCAAUUAAAGAUAACUAGAAGGAACUAACAACCCAAGCUGUGAUUGUAUUAACAAAAUAAGGUUAUAGUAAAGAAGAAAGACGGAGAGAAGUAGCAGAGAAAUUGGGGAAGAAGAAAGAGGUACAAUUUCUGACAAAUACCAAUCUGCCUGACUUACUUUCCCUCCCUCAGUUAAGUACAAGUACAAUAAGAGACGUGUUUUAUAACAAAAAACGUAUGCUUCCAUAACAAAAUAUACGAAUGAAUCGGCGUCGCUCCUUUCACCCUUUAAUUGCCGGUUAAUUCCGUUUGCUUCUUUCCUUCUUUCCCCCAGCUGAUAUCUGGCUUGAAGUGUUUUUCUUCCUCAUCACAUACCUCCUCCUCAAAACGACCUUGUCUGCAAGGUUGGAAAAGAGGAAAUUCGUUCUGAAUUGCAGUUGCAUCUUCCCAAGUGGCCUUAUCCCUGUCAUAGCCUUUCCACUAAAUCAGCCAUUGUGUCACUGCCUGCUUAUUUCUCUGGAUCAUUCUGGUUUCCAUUACCGUUUCAGGUUCUUUGUAGAUCAUUUCCUAUUCCCCGCUCUCUGGUAGUGACAAGAUAGGUACCUCAUGUUCUCUUAUUUUUUUUCUUAAGUAAAGAUACACGGAAUACUGGGUGUAUUUUUGAAGUAUGGGGUAAGAUCAAAUCAUACGCCACUUGGCCAAUCAUUCUGAUGAUUUUGUAAGCUCCAUAGUAUUUGGCAGCUAGCUUUUGAUUAGUCCUUGUCAUAGCAGAAUUUUGCUCGUAAGGAUGUAACUUCAAAUACACCCAAUCACCCAUUGCAAACACUUUCUACUCUGUGCUGGUCAGCAUAAAAUUUCAUCCUUGCUCGGGCUUGAGCAAGAUGUUCUUUUAGAAACAGGUCCAUCUGAUUCCUCUCUUGCACUAGUUCUUCCACUGCAGUCGCUUUCGUUUGCUGAUGAGGUUCCAAUGCCAAAUGGGGUGGUUUAAUACCAUAUAGGGCUUCAAAGGGACUCAUUUUAAUUGCUAUGUGGUAGGUAGUAUUAUACCACCAUUUAGCCUGUGAUAACCAGUCAAUCCAUCUCCUAGGUUGGUGGAAUGUCAUGCACCUCAAAUACAUUUCCAAACACUGGUUAAGCCUCUCAGUUUGCCCGUCCGUUUUUGGGUGAUACGUAAAGCUCUGGUGCAGGUUGGUUCCCAUCAAUUUGAACAGCUCCUGCCAAAACCCACUAGUGAAAAUCUUGUCCCCGUCUGACAUAAUACUUUAAGGCAUUCCAUGGAGCUUAUAGAUGUUAUCAAGGAAGACUUUAGCUACUGUAAUUGCAGAGAAGGGAUGGGAUAAGGCUAUGAAGUGCCCGUAUUUAGUAAAUCGGUCCACCACUAUCAGGAUAACUGAUUUCUUUUUUGAAGAGGGCAGGCUUUCAAUAAAAUCCAUGGAUAUGUGGCUCCAUGAAUAUUGUGGUUCAAGCAGAGGUUGUAGCAGGCCAGGGUGGGGAACAUGUUCUCCCUUGCAUCUUUGACAAACAUCACACUAAGUAUCUCCCUCUUGAUAUCUCCAAUCAUCCCUGGCCAAUAAAAGUGUUGCUUAGCCUUGAAUACACUAGCCUGAAUACCAGAGUGGCCUCCAUUUUGGGAAGAAUGGAUAUUUUGAAUCAACUUGGCCUUUAUCUGACCUCCAGAUCCCACAUAUAUCUUGCCUUUAAAUUUGAGUAACCCAUUGUGAUAGGAAAAUUUAGAGUCUUCAUUGGGUUUAAUCAACAAUUCCUCAAUAUGAUUUUCAACCAUUGCAUCAUCUUGGUAGCUGCUUACCACUUCCUGUAUCCAAAUGGGUGUUACAUUAGAAAUUGCCACCACUUCCAUAGAUGAUUCUUCUCUCCUAGAAAGAGCAUCAGCCACAACAUUAUCCACCCUUUUCUUGUACUGGAUCUCAUAGCUGAGUUCUAGUAGUUUAGUCAACCAUUUCUGUUGAAUGGAUGUAGUUAUCCUUUGCUCUAGCAAGUACUUUAAUGACUGAUGAUCUGUUUUGAUGAUGAAAUGAUGUCCCUUCAGAUAAUGCCUCCACUUUCUCCCCACAGUAACUAAUACCAGAAGUUCCUUCUCAUAGAUGGACAUUCCUAGUUUCUCAUUGCAAAUUCCUUUACUGAAGUAGGCAAUUGGUCUUCUAUUUUGCAUUAAGACAACUCCCACACCUCCAUGGCAAGCAUCAGUCUCAAUGAUGAAUGGUUGAGUAAAAUCUGGUAAAGCUAAAAUUGGGGUGCUACACAUUGCUGAUUUCAAUUUCUGGAAGGCCCUAUUUGUCAUUUCAUCCCAUGUAAAUUUAUCCUUCUUCAGUAAAUCCGUCAAAGGUCUUGCAAGAACUCCAUACCCUUUUACAAACUUUCUGUAGUAUCCUGUCAACCCGAAGAACCCCCUUAGUUGCUUGAUAGUAAUGGGAGUCGGCCAUUGCUCCAUUGCACUGAUUUUAGUAGGGUUAGCUGCCACUCCCAAUAUCGAGAUAAUGUGACCCAGGUACUCCACUCUAGAUUGCCCAAAUGAACACUUAGUCCCUUUAACAUAUAGUUGUUGCUCCUUCAAUACCUCUAGUACUCUAGCUAAGUGUUGACAAUGGGAUAUCAAGUCACAGCUAUAGACCAAUAUGUCAUAAAAAAAAAAACUAAGACAAACUUCCUCAAAUACUUCUUGAAAACUUCAUUCAUCAAGCAUUUGAAUGUGGCUGGAGCAUUAGUGAGUCCAAAGAGCAUGACUUUGAACUCAAAUAAGCCAUGGUUUGUCUUAAAUGCUGUCUUACAUAUGUCACUUUCAGUGACUCUAAUUUGAUGGUACCUAGCCCUCAGGUCAAUUUUGGAAAACCACCUAGCACCCUGUAAUUCAUCAAGUAAAGGUAUGUGAUAUUUAUAUUUGAUCGUGAUGCUAUUUAGUUGCAAGUAAUCCACACAGAACCUCCAUGUUCCAUCCUUUUUUUUUAACCAAUAACAUCGGGGAGGCAUAUAGGCUAUUACUUGGCUGGAUGAUCCCAAUCUCUAACAUUUCUUUCGCCAUUUUUUCCAUUUCUGUUUUCUAUAUAUAUGGGCACCUGUAGGGUCUUAUUCGAAAAGGUUGAGCUCCUUCCUUCUGUUGAAUCUUAUGGUCAUUGAAUCUAGGAGGUGGCAUCCCUUUUGGCUCUUCAAAUGCAUCCAAAUACUGUUUGAUGAGGUGAUUCCUUUUCACCUUCUGUCACUGAAUGAAUUUGAACCACGAUCCCAUAGGAUUGUUUUUGGACCCACUGGUCCAUAUUUUCCCUUUCUAUCAUCAAAAUUUCAUUCUUUCCCAACUCACUCUUUAGUUCAACUUCCAUUCACUUGUAACAAAAUUUAAUGCUGCUUUGUUCGAAAUCAAAUAUGACCAGGUUAAACUGGCUUAACCAAUCUACCCCCAACACCAUAUCACUCCCUCCCAACUUCAGCAUCCUCAACUGGAAUUGGCAUUCCAUUCCUUGCAUGGUCCAAUUCAGUGGAUUACACAUAGCACUACUUCACAGUUUAUUCCCAUUGGCUACAGUUACUGCCACAGCUGGAGUGACCUCUACUUUGCAUCUCAACUCCUGCACUAAUUUUUCAUUGAUGAAACUGUGAGUGCUACCACUAUCAAUGAGGAUAGAGACCUUCCUUCUCAUGAUCUGUCCUAGAAUCCUAGUGGUCUUAAAUUUCAGACUCCCGGAAAGGGCAUUGAUAGAAAUCUCCAUAAUCCCUUCUUCCUCUUCUUCUUCAUAAGUUUUUGAUAAUUUUCCUUCGUCGUCUACCUUCAUCUCUUCCUCAUCAAUCAGCAUAAAAUUAAGCAUUCUAUUCUUGCAUGUGUGUCCUGGGGUGUAUUUCUCAUCACACCUAAAACAGAGUCCCAAACUCUUUCUGGUUUGAAUGUUGAAAGGGGUAAUGGUUUUAAACUUCAAUGGACGUGUUUGAUUUUUUUGGCUUGGGUCAGUGCUGAUGUUAGGCAAGUGUUUGAGGUUACUAUCAGGAGGUUUUUAGGGGUAUAUUGGACCAUUUGGGUUGAUAGUUGGUUUGGAGUGGAGUUUUGAGGUUUUAUUCAAGACAUUCAUAGUGUUUUCUUGUAAAAUGGCUAUUUCAAAAGCUUGGGAUACAAAAGUUGGUCUGACAAUUUUUAACUAUGGAUUUAAUUUCUUCAUUUAAUCCACUGGUGAAUAUAGAAAUGUAAUAGGAUUAUGGGAGGUGAGGUAAUGAAAGCAUAACUUGAGACUUGAGAUCCUCAAACAACUCCUGAUACUGAGCCACACUUUCCUUCUGCCUGAUUUUACUGAAAACUUCAAUGAUUUCCUCUGCUGUAGAUUCAGCAAACCUUCUACAAAUCUCGGUUGAGAAUAAACUCCAAUCAGCCCUAGGGUUAUUAUUGAUGAACCCAUGAAACCACACAUCUGCCCUUCCUUUUAGAUACAUCUCUGCAAUGUUGACUCUAAUUCCAUCUGGCACUUGGUGGAUUUGAAAGUAUUUUUGCGCCUUCCUCAACCACUCCCUUGGACCCUCCCCAUUGAAAUAAGGAAAAUCGAUCUUGGGUAGCUUCACUCCCAGUCUCCUAUCUCCCUUAUCCAUACUACUCUCAGAUGUUAUACCUAUUUUUUGUGUGAGUAGCCCUUCGCUGAUCGUGGAGUUUUCGGAUGAUCCUACCUUAUGUUUGUCCUUGGGUUCUCCCCUUUGCCCGCUCCAUUGUGCCAUCAUUGCAACCAAGGAUUCAUAUUUAGAAUUCAUCUAACUCAUUAUCGCCUCCAUUCUAUCAUGUUUAUUACACAGAUUCUGUAAGUUUUGAUGCAGAUUUCCCCACCUUAACACCGACAUUCUUUAAAAGCUUCUCCCAAGUCUUCCACAUCUCUGUCUAAUUUCUUCAGAUGUUCCUCUACUGCCUUGGCCCUAGUAUCCAUACCCAGAAUUUUUUAUGCUCCGAUACCACUUGUAAUGGUUGGGUUGAACUUCAACCAAAACCGACCAAUAUUCACCACAACAACUUGCAAUUAAAGAUAACCAGCUGGAAUUAACAACCCAAGCUGUGAUUGUAUUAACAAAAUAAGGUUACAGUAAAGAAGAAAGACGGAGAGAAGUAGCAGAGAAAUUGCGGAAGAAGAAAGAGGUACAAUUUUUGACAAAUACCAAUCUGCCUGCGUUACUUUCCCUCCCUCAGUUAAGUACAGUAAGAGAUGUGUUUUAUAACAAAAAACGUAUUCUUCCAUAAAUAUACAAAUGAAACGGCGUCGCUCCUUUCACCCUUUAAUUGCUAGUUAAUUCCGUUUGCUUCUCUCCCCCGCUGAUAUCUGGCUUGAAGUGUUCUUCCUCAUCACAGCAAGUUGCAGGGCUGAAAGUUAAUUAGACAUAUUGGGUGCAGGAUGUGCCUCUAUCCCCUUACCAAAUUCUCUGAUAUUUUCUAUGGUGUAAGAUAUUGUAGUAGAUGCUAUAGUUGAAAGAAAAAUAAUUAGCCGUCUUUGCAACAAUGGCUAUGUGCGCCAUAUGUUUCUAUUUACUUGAUGACUUGAAAUUUUUUAUUAGACUUUUGGUGUAGGUCAUCUUUUGUUCAUCAACCUAUGGUGCUAUACUUUUGGAGGGGUGCUACAGGUACAACAUAUUUGACAGCAUCACAUUAGUGAGAAAGCUUGCGUUUCAUUCUUUCUGCAAUCAGUCGUCCAUGAUCUGUCGUUUGUGCUGUUAAUUGUACAUGUGUACAGUGUUGAUUUUUUUUUUUUUUUUUUUUUUUUAAAAAAAAAGUCCAACUUGCAUACUGUUGUGUACUGGUAAUCAUAAAAUUGAUAUGUAGGUUACGGUUCAUAAAGUGUAUUUUGCAGAGGAAAUAUUUUUUGUCUUAAAGUUUGACUUCAUAUUUUUGAAAUUAAAUUGUAGAACAAUUCUCUAUGAAGAAUUGUGUGAAUGUUUGAUGAGUUUUACAUGUCUAAUUGCUCUCCUUAUUGUGUCUAAGUAAUUUGGAGGUGCA
rnacentral:lncRNA from 1 species